CAGCAGCCGCGGUAAUACGAAGGGUGCAAGCGUUACUCGGAAUUACUGGGCGUAAAGCGUGCGUAGGUGGUGGUUUAAGUCCGUUGUGAAAGCCCUGGGCUCAACCUGGGAAUUGCAGUGGAUACUGGGUCACUAGAGUGUGGUAGAGGAUAGUGGAAUUUCCGGUGUAGCAGUGAAAUGCGUAGAGAUCGGAAGGAACAUCUGUGGCGAAGGCGACUAUCUGGGCCAACACUGACACUGAGGCACGAAAGCGUGGGGAGCAAACAGGAUUAGAGACCCGAGUAGUCCCUGUCUCUUAUAA
rnacentral:rRNA from 1 species